ACCCUUAGAUGUCCUGGGCUGCACGCGCGCUACACUGAAAGUUACGGAUUGACUUUUUACCUUGUCCGAAAUGGUCCGGGUAAUCACCUAAAAGCUUGUCAUAAUUGGAAUGGAUUAUUGUAACUAGUAAUCCUGAACGAGGAAUUCCUAGUAAGUCCCAGUCAACAGCUGGUACUGAUUACGUCCCUGCCCUUUGUACACACCGCCCGUCGCUACUACUGAUUGGACGUUUAAGCAAGAUUUUUAAACACUGACAGUUAAUGGCUUCGGCCAAGACACAGUGAGAAGAAGAAGAUCGAGCUUACUUGUCUAGAGGAAGUAAAAGUCGUAACA
rnacentral:rRNA from 1 species